UAGAGGCAGGCAGAUCUCUGUGAGUUCGAGGCCAGCCUGGUCUACAGAGUGAGUUUCAGGACAGCCAGGGCUACACAGGGAAACCCUGUGUAGAAAAAG
rnacentral:miRNA from 14 species